UACGGAGGAUGCAAGCGUUAUCCGGAAUGAUUGGGCGUAAAGCGUCCGCAGGUGGCUGUGUAAGUCUGCUGUUAAAGAGUGAGGCUCAACCUCAUAAAAGCAGUGGAAACUACACGGCUAGAGUGCGUUCGGGGCAGAGGGAAUUCCUGGUGUAGCGGUGAAAUGCGUAGAUAUCAGGAAGAACACCAGUGGCGAAGGCGACUUUCUGGCCUGUUCUUGACGCUGAGGCGCGAAAGCUAGGGGAGCAAACGGG
rnacentral:rRNA from 1 species